rnacentral:lncRNA from 1 species
CUUCCUGUGAGGGCUCUCACUUGGUGCCAUUGAGAGCUUUUGGUGGCCUUUGGUGUGCCUGGCGGCUUUGGCGGACUUUGGCGGUGGAGCUCUGUAGCGUGGUUUAGGUGAGGCACUUUGCCUGAAUGGCCACUUGAACCUGGCCCAUUGCACAGUGCAGAGGACUGACAAUAAGCCAGACCAAACCCAGUCACAUAACUCAAACAGAAAUGUUAUUUGCUAACAAGGUGUUUCAUAAACAAGCUCUUGCCAUUUCUGGCUUCUAAUCUAUUAUGUUAUCUACUUUUUCAUCAUGGCCCACUGAUGCUAAGAUCUCAAAAGAGGAGGAUCUUGAACACCUUGAAUCUGGAAAUUCCCAGAUAGAGAUGAAAUAUGAAGUUGCAGGAAAUGUAGGUGUCCUCAGUCAAGUUCAUAUUUGCUGAAGAUUUUGGUGAGAGAGAAUGUGCCCUAAUGGCAUCUCUAAAGGAAUCAUCCACCCAGUAUUAUUUCAUUCUGGAUUCUCCAUCUUGCAAGUCUUAUGAGACCACAG